rnacentral:misc_RNA from 1 species
AUGCGUCCUUACAGCACACAACAAUCAUGUCGUCUCGACUGUUGGGAUCUGCCAGUCCCUUGGCAAGAUAUCUCUGCCGCUCCCAGCAGGUUGUUUGCCCCAGCUGGAGAGCAGCUUCCACUCAAACGCAGCAGAAAGUAAAUGUUCCAGAGACGGUAGUGUCAACUCUCCCCAGUGGAAUGAAAGUUGCCACCGAGAGUAUCGGCUCCCCCACCUGCACCUUUGGCCCCGUCUUGAAUUUGCCCUGACACAGUCCUUGGCAUUGGCUUAGUGUUGAAAUCUUCCACUGACAAAGAGGGUGAAAGUGAAAGGGGCAAAAAAAAACCGAUUGAAUAUUUCAAUAUAUACAGAAGUUACAGUUCAUGUACAUUGCAGUGCUGACAAAGUUUAGUCAUUUUUUAAAACUGUGGGUUUGUGGAUUGAUGUAGGAAGCAGAUAUGAAACGGCCAACAACAAUGGGGUCGCCCACUUCUUAGAACACAUGUUUUUCAAGGGAACACAAAAACGCUCACGAAAUCAGCUAGAACUGGAAGUGGAAAAUAUGGGGGCUCAUUUGAAUGCUUACACAUCCAGGGAAACAACCGUCUUUUAUGCGAAAUGUCUGUCUAAAGAUGUAGAGAAAGCCAUUGAAAUUUUGUCAGACAUCGUUCAGAACAGUAAGUUAGAUGAACAAGAAAUCGAGAGGGAGCGGGAUGUGAUUCUCAGAGAAAUGGAGGAAGUAGAAACUAACCUACAGGAAGUCAUAUUUGAUCACCUGCACGCCACCGCCUUCCAGGGAACCCCCCUGGGGAGGACGAUACUGGGACCCACUGCCAAUAUCAAGUCCAUGAGGAGAAAGGAUCUGACCAACUUCAUCCAAAUGCACUACUCUCCUGGCAGAAUUGUUUUGGCUGGAGCUGGGGGCAUUGACCACCAACAAAUGAAAGACUUGGGUGAAAAAUACUUUACACAUCUGGGUAGAACAGACGAACCGUUGCUGGAGAGAGACGUGUCACUCAAGGAGCCUUGUCGCUUUACGGGAGGAGAUGUUAGAAUCCGAGACGACCUGAUGCCGCUGUGUCAUGUGGCCCUGGCAGUGGAGACAUGUGGGUGGAAGAAUGCAGACAACAUCCCCCUCAUGAUCGGCAACAUGGCCAUCGGCAACUGGGACCGGUCCAUGAUGGGGGGCAAGGAUUUGGUCAGUGGUCUGGCCGUGCGAUUUGCCAACCAGCCAGCCGCUCAUAGCUUCAUGUCCUUUAACACUAACUACUCUGACACCGGCCUGUGGGGAGCUUAUUUCAUUGGUGAGGGCCCAAGGAUGAUGGAGAUUACAGAUUAUGUAGUAAGAGAAUGGAUCGCAUUAUGUACAAAAAUUACAGACCAGGAAGUAGAGAGAGCGAAAAACAUCCUGAAGGCUAAUCUCCGCCUCCAGCUGGACGGAACCACGCCCAUUUGUGAGGAUAUUGGAAGACAAAUGCUGGCAUAUGGAAGAAGAGUGCCGUUGGAAGAAUUUGAAUAUAGAAUUGAUAAUGUGAAUGCUGCCAAGGUCCGAGAGGUCUGCACAAAGUAUAUAUACGAUAGAUGCCCUGCCCUGGCAGCCAUAGGUCCAGCGGUAGCAGUGCCUGACUACGCCUCCUUGAGGUCCGAGUUCUACUGGCUGAGACUCUAGGCGACCGGGUCAGUGUGUAGGAAGUGAAAUAAGUAAACAAUUACAGAGACACCCAUAAACAACCAGUGAUCAACAACAAAUAAACUAGACUGUGUGGUGUAAUGGAAUGUACUUGGUCCACAGAUAGCAGGCUGUAUGGUACUGUGUGGGACAGUACAGGAGAACAAUGAGUGCUUUGUUAACUGUCACAUUGUGAAUAAAUUAUUGUUUCUUUU